rnacentral:rRNA from 1 species
GGGGGGAGCAAGCGUUGUUCGGAUUUACUGGGCGUAAAGGGCGUGUAGGCGGCCACCGCAAGUCGACUGUGAAAUCUCCGGGCUUAACUCGGAAAGGUCAGCCGAUACUGCGGGGCUAGAGUGCAGAAGGGGCAACUGGAAUUCUCGGUGUAGCGGUGAAAUGCGUAGAUAUCGAGAGGAACACCUGCGGCGAAGGCGGGUUGCUGGGCUGACACUGACGCUGAAACGCGAAAGCUAGGGGAGCGAACGGGAUUAGAUACCCCGGUAGUCCUAGCCUUAAACGAUGAAUGCUUGGUGUCUGGGGUUUUAUAGUCCCCGGGUGCCGUCGCUAACGCUUUAAGCAUUCCGCCUGGGGAGUACGGUCGCUAGACUG